rnacentral:rRNA from 1 species
GUCGAACGGUAACAGGAAGAAGCUUGCUUCUUUGCUGACGAGUGGCGGACGGGUGAGUAAUGUCUGGGAAACUGCCUGAUGGAGGGGGAUAACUACUGGAAACGGUAGCUAAUACCGCAUAACGUCGCAAGACCAAAGAGGGGGACCUUCGGGCCUCUUGCCAUCGGAUGUGCCCAGAUGGGAUUAGCUAGUAGGUGGGGUAACGGCUCACCUAGGCGACGAUCCCUAGCUGGUCUGAGAGGAUGACCAGCCACACUGGAACUGAGACACGGUCCAGACUCCUACGGGAGGCAGCAGUGGGGAAUAUUGCACAAUGGGCGCAAGCCUGAUGCAGCCAUGCCGCGUGUAUGAAGAAGGCCUUAGGGUUGUAAAGUACUUUCAGCGGGGAGGAAGGGAGUAAAGUUAAUACCUUUGCUCAUUGACGUUACCCGCAGAAGAAGCACCGGCUAACUCCGUGCCAGCAGCCGCGGUAAUACGGAGGGUGCAAGCGUUAAUCGGAAUUACUGGGCGUAAAGCGCACGCAGGCGGUUUGUUAAGUCAGAUGUGAAAUCCCCGGGCUCAACCUGGGAACUGCAUCUGAUAC